rnacentral:rRNA from 1 species
GACGAACGCUGGCGGCGUGCCUAAUACAUGCAAGUCGAACGAGAGCAACCGGUGCUUGCACUGGUCAAUCUAGUGGCGAACGGGUGAGUAACACGUGGGUAACCUGCCCAUCAGAGGGGGAUAACAUCCGGAAACGGAUGCUAAAACCGCAUAGGUCUUCGAACCGCAUGGUUUGAAGAGGAAAAGAGGCGCAAGCUUCCGCUGAUGGAUGGACCCGCGGUGCAUUAGCUAGUUGGUGAGGUAACGGCUCACCAAGGCCGUGAUGCAUAGCCGACCUGAGAGGGUGAUCGGCCACAUUGGGACUGAGACACGGCCCAAACUCCUACGGGAGGCAGCAGUAGGGAAUCUUCCGCAAUGGACGCAAGUCUGACGGAGCAACGCCGCGUGAGUGAAGAAGGUUUUCGGAUCGUAAAACUCUGUUGUUAGAGAAGAACAAGUGCUAGAGUAACUGUUAGCGCCUUGACGGUAUCUAACCAGAAAGCCACGGCUAACUACGUG